AGAGUUUGAUCCUGGCUCAGAUUGAACGCUGGCGGCAGGCCUAACACAUGCAAGUCGAACGGUAGCACAGAGGAGCUUGCUCCUUGGGUGACGAGUGGCGGACGGGUGAGUAAUGUCUGGGAAACUGCCCGAUGGAGGGGGAUAACUACUGGAAACGGUAGCUAAUACCGCAUAACGUCGCAAGACCAAAGAGGGGGACCUUCGGGCCUUGCGCUAUCAGAUGAGCCUAGGUCGGAUUAGCUAGUUGGUGAGGUAACGGCUCACCAAGGCGACGAUCCGUAACUGGUCUGAGAGGAUGAUCAGUCACACUGGAACUGAGACACGGUCCAGACUCCUACGGGAGGCAGCAGUGGGGAAUAUUGGACAAUGGGCGAAGGCCUGAUCCAGCCAUGCCGCGUGUGUGAAGAAGGUCUUCGGAUUGUAAAACCCUUUAAGUUGGGAGGAAGGGCAUUAACCUAAUACGUUAGUGUUUUGACGUACCGACAGAAUAGACACCGGAG
rnacentral:rRNA from 1 species